GCCUGGGUGGCACAGCGGUUGAGCGUCUGCCUUUGGCUCAGGGCGUGAUCCCGGCAUUGUGGGAUCGAGCCCCACAUCAGGCU
rfam:Ailuropoda melanoleuca scaffold2179_9, whole genome shotgun sequence.